rfam:Salmo salar isolate Sally breed double haploid chromosome ssa22, whole genome shotgun sequence.
UCCCGUGUGGCUCAGUUGGUAGAGCAUGGUGUUUGCAACGCCAGGGUUGUGGGUUUGAUUCCCACGGGGGAU